rnacentral:lncRNA from 1 species
AUUUCGGUAAAUAAAUGUUGACCGAUAAAUCAAAGUGUCAACGCUCAUGUAUUACAUAAAUUUUACACGUAGCGUGCGACUCAACGAAAAUUGAAAUGAGUUGGAAAAGUCAUCAAAUAGGACACGUGUCAACACCUGGCAGAAACGACUUAUUUCAUCUGGGAUAUUAUAUUCAAAAUUAGGCCUUGGAAAAUUCUAUAAAUACAAGCCCAUUUCAUU